AGGAGGUAGGAUCACUUGAGCCUGGGAGGUGGAGGUUGCAGUGAGCUGAGAUCACGCCACUGCACUCCAGCCUGGGUGGAUAGAGCCAGACAUUGUCUC
rnacentral:miRNA from 1 species